rnacentral:rRNA from 1 species
UGGGGAAUAUUGCACAAUGGGGGAAACCCUGAUGCAGCGACGCCGCGUGAGCGAUGAAGUAUUUCGGUAUGUAAAGCUCUAUCAGCAGGGAAGAUAAUGACGGUACCUGACUAAGAAGCUCCGGCUAAAUACGUGCCAGCAGCCGCGGUAAUACGUAUGGAGCAAGCGUUAUCCGGAUUUACUGGGUGUAAAGGGAGCGUAGGCGGUCCUGCAAGUCUGAUGUGAAGACCCGGGGCUCAACCCCGGGACUGCAUUGGAAACUGUAGGACUAGAGUGUCGGAGGGGUAAGUGGAAUUCCUAGUGUAGCGGUGAAAUGCGUAGAUAUUAGGAGGAACACCAGUGGCGAAGGCGGCUUACUGGACGACCACUGACGCUGAGGCUCGAAAGCGUGGGGAGCAAACAGG